AAGUAUAUGCAUAUUUUAUAUGUAGAAACUGCGAACGGCUCAUUAAAACAGUUAUAAUCUACUUGACAUUUUCUAUAUAAGGAUAACUACGGAAAAGCUGUAGCUAAUACUUGCUUUAGCACUCUUGAUUUAUUUCUUGAGUGUGUACUUGUUAAGCCUUAUAAGAAAAGAGUUAUUAACUUAAGGAAUUAUAACAAAGAAGUAACACGUAAUGGAUCAAUCCAUUUUUAGUGUGUAUCAAUCGAGUUUCUGACCUAUCAGCUUUUGAUGUUAGGGUAUUGGCCUAACAUGGCUAUGACGGGUAACGGGGAAUUAGAGUUCGAUUCCGGAGAGGGAGCCUGAGAAAUAGCUACCACAUCUAAGGAAGGCAGCAGGCGCGUAAAUUACCCAAUUCUAAAGAAGAGAGGUAGUGACAAGAAAUAACAAUACAAGGCCAAUCUGGCUUUGUAAUUGGAAUGAUGGGAAUUUAAAACCUUCCCAAAAUUCAAUUGGAGGGCAAGUCUGGUGCCAGCAGCCGCGGUAAUUCCAGCUCCAAUAGCGUAUAUUAAAAUUGUUGCAGUUAAAACGCUCGUAGUUGAAUUUCAAAGAAUCGAUAUUUUAAGUAACGCUUCUAGCUAUAAAUCCACAUAACUGAUGCCUCCGCGUAUCGACUUUGUGCGCAUUUUAGCUAUUAUGUGUUCUUUUAAUUAAAAUGAUUCUUUUUAAGAUUCAUCUAUUAAAAAAUUUGCUUCGGCAUAAUUUUUUUUGAUGAUCUUGUUACUUUGAGUAAAUUAGAGUGUUCAAAGCAAACAGAUAUAGCAUUUGUGCGUUUGAAUACUACAGCAUGGAAUAACAAAAUUGAACAAGUCAGAAUUUUUUUGUUCUUUUUUCUUAUUUUGGCUUAGUUACGAUUAAUAGGAGUAGCUUGGGGGCAUUUGUAUUCAGAUGUCAGAGGUGAAAUUCUUAGAUUUUCUGGAGACAAACAACUGCGAAAGCAUUUGCCUAAAAUACUUCCAUUAAUCAAGAACGAAAGUUAAGGGAGUGAAGACGAUCAGAUACCGUCGUAAUCUUAACCAUAAACUAUGCCGACUAGGCUUUGGAUGAAAGAUUUUAAAAUAAGAGUUUUUCUUUUCUCUCCGGAGAUUAGAACUCUUAGAUUGCUUCCUUCAGUGCCUUAUGAGAAAUCAAAGUCUUUGGGUUCUGGGGCGAGUAUUCGCGCAAGCGAGAAAGUUAAAAGAAUUGACGGAAGGGCACCACCAGGCGUGGAGCUUGCGGCUUAAUUUGACUCAACACGGGAAAACUCACUAGUUUAAGACAAGAGUAGGAUUGACAGAUUAAUAGCUCUUUCUUGAUUUCUUGGAUGGUGAUGCAUGGCCGUUUUUAGUUCGUGAAUAUGAUUUGUCUGGUUAAUUCCGAUAACGAACGAGAUCUUAACCUGCUAAUUAGCGGCAAAUACGAUAUAUUCUUAUGUAGAAUUGAAUAUAGUGGAUUUGUUGGAUUUUGAAGAAAAUAUUGGAAUUACGUUAAAUGUGAUUCCUUUCCCUUUUCUACUUAAUUUACAUUUCCAUCUAUUUCUUUUUUGCGUAUGAAUGUAUUUGCUUGAUUGUAAAGCUUCUUAGAGGAACGAUGUGUGUCUAACACAAG
rnacentral:rRNA from 1 species